CGCUCGACAUCAGAGUUUGAUCCUGGCUCAGGAUGAACGCUGGCGGCGUGCUUAACACAUGCAAGUCGAACGGACUUGUGUAUCGGAAGUUUUCGGAUGGAAGAUAUAUAAGUUAGUGGCGGACGGGUGAGUAACGCGUGGGUAACCUGCCCUAUACCGGGGGAUAACACUUAGAAAUAGGUGCUAAUACCGCAUAAGCGCACGAGGUCGCAUGACCCAGUGUGAAAAACUCCGGUGGUAUAGGAUGGACCCGCGUCCGAUUAGCCGGUUGGCGGGGUAGAGGCCCACCAAAGCAACGAUCGGUAGCCGGCCUGAGAGGGUGACCGGCCACAUUGGGACUGAGACACGGCCCAA
rnacentral:rRNA from 1 species